CUCCAGUGAGAACCAGGCCACACACACCGUCUCCACGAUGAAGAUGUUGUAGCACAUCUGAGAGCAUUUACCCUGAAAACAGACGAAUGGAAAGUUAAGAAAACUUGGGAUUUUGAGCGAAGGGGCAGCAAUUUUAAUUAUUCCAGUGACUGAUCUGAGCCGAGCCAAUGGGUGUCUUAAUUCAAUCAGAGAAGGAGCUGGUUUAACUCUAAUUGCCACAAAUUAUUUCUGGAAAAAGAUGACUUCUCCUGAAGAAAAGCCUUUGCUUUGGUUGAGCGGAACGGUUCUGAACAGGGCUCUUGGAGCUUGAUGAAUUUCAGCAUGGUGCUUAUGGACAGGUUGAUGGCUGUUAUCGUGACGAACAGCACCGAAAGGCAGGCGAAGAUCUUCCCCGGCAGGCCGGAGUGAGGCUUCUCCACCAUGUCUCUUAGCUUUCCCAUCCAGCGGCCGAGGCGAGACUCUCUGGUCAAACUGCUUUGGCUGUCAUCCUCAUUCUCCUCGUCCUCCUCUGCCACCCGCUCUAACUCGUUGCACUCCUCCACGCGCUGCAGGAGGCGUCUCCGGCAGCACCACUCCAAGCUCUCCUCCGGGACGCCCCAAUAGAGCAGCUCUUCUCGGAAGGACAGGGCGCACAUCUCGCGCAGAGAGCGCAGUUUCCCGGCGCGCAGGAAGGUGAGGAUGGUCUGGAAGGCGCAGGGACUGCGGUCGAAGAAGAACUCGUUGUGGACCACGUCGUAGUCGUCGCACACCCGCAUGAUCUCGUCGAAGCUGCUGCACAGAUGCAACUGGCCCAGACGCGAGAGGGGGAAGUCCUCCAGCGUGGUCCAGGGAAGCUGGUACCGCAGGCCGCCCACGUUAAUGAUGACGUGCAGCCGCUGGCCGCAGGAAGGCAGGUUGCCGUUGUCGUCCAGAUGGAGCGCAUCGGUGAUGUUGGGGUCGGUCAGAGGCAGGUGUUGCGCCCGUUUGUAAUAAACACCCUUGAGGGCCUCUCGUUCCUGGAUGGGGGGCCCGUUCAGAGAGUCGUCCGAGGUGCAACUUAAAGCACUGUAGUCGUAAUCCGAACCAUCGCCUCCCAGUAAAGUCAUCUUUAGCUCAGUGGCGGUCACAUGCCUGUAGCCCAGCGCUUCCUCUCAAAGAAUGACCUGCUCAAUUAAAGAGAGACGGCUGAUUAGUGAUCGACGUAUUAAGGCUUGUUCACUCCAAGAUAAUGAUAACUAUCAUUAACAUUCACACCAGCAGAGAAUAGUAUUCUGUUUAAGCACACAAUUUUUGUCGUCUGAUGCUUGAAAUGCUUGAGCUCGUUAAAAAUGGGUGGAUUCUGAUUGACUGUCAGGGUUUCAUCGGCUAAAAAAAAUAAAAGAUUUAAAAGUGA